UGCCAUCAUUAUUUUGUUUUUCAUUUGACAAAUCUGAAAAUCAAUGCUUUGUGGAUUAAUAUUCGUUCGUUAUUGUUAAAUUGUAACCACAGAUGAAUACCAAAAAUGAAAUGAAAAAAAUACCUACAACAUGUACAAGGUUUUUAUUACUAUAAUAUAAAAAUCUUUUUUUGCAAAAUAACACUGUUAACAUGGUCAGGAUCUAUGCAAUACAUACAAACAAUACAAUAAAAAAAAACAAUACAAUGGAAUACAAUAUAACAUAUUUUAAGAAACAGUUCAAUCAACAAAUGCAUGUACAUACACAUAUAAAAACUUGUCUAACAUGAGUCUGCCCCUCAGUUCUAAAGACUGCUAAAUGAAGACUUCAAUAUGACAAAAACAAACAGAUUGGAGGGGCGGGGGUGAAUUGAUUUUAAUUUACUAAAUGCAUCAAGAUGUUAUAAAAAUGGUCCAUAGUAUUUUAGAUAAGAAAACAAAUUUGAACGCAAAUCUAUUUUAAUGUUACCAUCGAAUAAGAUGGAAUUCGUCAUCUAGGAAACUAUAUUUUUUACAUGAUGGUUGCGUUUUUGGAAUAUUUCUGUAUCUACCAAAUGCAAUACCAAGGGAAUAAUCACAAUGUCUAAAUUUUGACAGUAAAUUCUUAUGGAAAACAUAAUUGCAAUUCAAAUAUUACUCACACUGACAUCUAGUUUUGAAUUUCUCAUAAAGACAACCUUUUGAUGAGGAAUUCAUUCGAUUUAUCAUUUUUUU
rnacentral:lncRNA from 1 species